rnacentral:rRNA from 1 species
CUACGGGGCGCAGCAGUAAGGAAUAUUGGUCAAUGGGCGAAAGCCUGAACCAGCCAUGCCGCGUGAGUGAAGACGGCCUUCGGGUUGUAAAACUCUUUUCUAAGGGAAGAACCAGCAGGACAGGAAAUGGUCCCGCUCUGACGGUACCUUAGGAAUAAGGAACGGCUAACUGCGUGCCAGCAGCCGCGGUAAUACGGAGGUUCCAAGCGUUGUUCGGAUUUACUGGGCGUAAAGGGAGCGCAGGCGGAAGGGUCAGUCUGAAGUGGAAUCCCGGGGCUCAACCUCGGACGUGCUUUGGAUACUGCCCUUCUUGAGUCCGUGAGAGGAAAGCGGAAUUCAGGGUGUAGCGGUGAAAUGCUUAGAUAUCCUGAGGAACACCAAUGGCGAAAGCAGCUUUCUGGCACGUGACUGACGCUGAGGCUCGAAAGCGUGGGGAGCGAACGGGAUUAGAUACCCGCGUAGUC